rnacentral:rRNA from 1 species
GACGAACGCUGGCGGCGUGCUUAACACAUGCAAGUCGAACGGAAAGGCCCUGCUUGCAGGGUACUCGAGUGGCGAACGGGUGAGUAACACGUGGGUGAUCUGCCCUGCACUUCGGGAUAAGCCUGGGAAACUGGGUCUAAUACCGGAUAGGAGCCAUUUUUAGUGUGAUGGUUGGAAAGUUUUUUCGGUGUAGGAUGAGCUCGCGGCCUACCAGCUUGUUGGUGGGGUAAUGGCCUACCAAGGCGGCGACGGGUAGCCGGCCUGAGAGGGUGGACGGCCACAUUGGGACUGAGAUACGGCCCAGACUCCUACGGGAGGCAGCAGUGGGGAAUAUUGCACAAUGGGCGCAAGCCUGAUGCAGCGACGCCGCGUGGGGGAUGACGGCCUUCGGGUUGUAAACUCCUUUCGCUAGGGACGAAGCUUUUUGUGACGGUACCUAGAUAAGAAGCACCGGCUAACUACGUG